UUCAAUGUAUGCGAACGGGUAGAUUUAUUUGUGUUUAAUACUUGAAGAGUAUUGUUAAUGUUAUGCCAUUUGAUCGUAUAUAUGUUAUUGUAAGAAAAGACUGUUAUUGUAGAAGAUUAAGUAAUAAAGACUUUGUUUUUGCCACGCAUCUCAGUCAACACCUUUCUUAUUUUGUCUUCCUUUAAUAGGUAUGCCCCCUCCCUCGGGGUGUGGGCGCUACAAAUUUGGCGACCUUGCCAGGACGGCCAUCGUCGAAGGGACACGAGGACGAUGUGCUGUCCUAUGACACGAACAGUUGGAUCAAUCGAAAGAGAAGAGCAGCGAGCAAACGAUACAGGACCAGAAGACAGAGUGACGGAGAGAACCUGAUUUGACAAUGACAUUGGCUCAGCAUCACAGAAAAUGGGACGAGCUACAGAGAAGAGAAAAGGCUACCGUGCAGUACGCAGCAGGGUGCUACGGCAAGGUGAUAGGGCCCUGGUGCGAAGUCUGGCCCCUCCAGGUGGCCAAGGAAAGCUUCACCCUUACUGGGAGGAAAUAGAUGGCGGAGCAGUGAGUGGAGUCAAGGAUGUCCAGGGGUUCUCCAAGCCGCCAUCCUCAACAGCCCAGCCUCCAGCACCUUUCUAGUACCGGUAUGACCCACCAUUCUACCCUCAUCAAAUGCCUCUACAGAUGCAGACGCCGAUAGCCCACGAGCAACUAACCCUCUACCAACGUCAGAUGACAGAAGACCAGCUGAAAUUUUCCUAGCAAGCGAGUCCAUCAUUGAGGAAUGCCUCAAACUGAUUUUUUUUAAAUUUUUACAUUAGAUGCAUCGUUAUAUAGAAUCAUGUGUGCUAGCUGUUUAAUAAACCAGAAAUACGAGUAAUGAGAAGUACUAAGAUGAAACAAGUUGUAAAUCGUUUCAUGAAUUGUGGUGUAAUAUAAGGAAACAAGCGAUGACACUCGAUAGUGAUCAAUUGAUCUUUGUGAUAAAGUCUUCGGAAUGAGUCUCGAGCUUUCCAAGAAACCUUCACCGUUUGUCAGGCGCGCCCGUAGAAUGGGUUAAUGUUUCGCAAAGUUUAUUUGUAUGGAAGAAAAAGCCACGUAAUUCUGAUACGAUAUUAUGAUAUGUAAUUCUGAGACUUCAAGUACCUAUUAGGUUUCGCUAUAACAAGUUGCAACAAGUGUAUAUAUAUGAACUCGAUGUACUACAUGUAUUUCGCAGAAGAAUUGGAGCACGAUGAUCUGUCAGCGUUACAAGGACAUAGACUUUCAUGGACUUUGGUGAUAAGUCUCACCUCCUUGAUCGGUCCUAAGCUCAUGACGACAUUGAACUAGAACUUAAUGAACAUUAGAAAUGUUGUACUAUAUUAAUGAAUUGUUAUAAAUGUUUGAAAGUUGAAAUGUCCAGGAGACAUUUAUUUUUGGAGGGGAAGGUGUGGAGCCCCACAGAAUACCCCCCCCCCUAUUUUUUUGUAUAUCUUUGACUAUGUAUGUAUGACACAAGUAUAUUUCUAGCCCCCAUAUAGUCCCUCCUCUUAGUUAAUUAGGUACCCCCUCCUGCGAGAGUGGCCUCACCCACAACCAACCUAAACACACCAGCUGGGAUACCAGGAGUGGCUUCUCACUUUGUUUUUGCCACGCAUCUCAGUCAACACCUUUCUUAUUUUGUCUUCCUUUAAUAGGUAUGCCCCCUCCCUCGGGGUGUGGGCGCUACAAAUUUGGCGACCUUGCCAGGACGGCCAUCGUCGAAGGGACACGAGGACGAUGUGCUGUCCUAUGACACGAACAGUUGGAUCAAUCGAAAGAGAAGAGCAGCGAGCAAACGAUACAGGACCAGAAGACAGAGUGACGGAGAGAACCUGAUUUGACAAUGACAUUGGCUCAGCAUCACAGAAAAUGGGACGAGCUACAGAGAAGAGAAAAGGCUACCGUGCAGUACGCAGCAGGGUGCUACGGCAAGGUGAUAGGGCCCUGGUGCGAAGUCUGGCCCCUCCAGGUGGCCAAGGAAAGCUUCACCCUUACUGGGAGGAAAUAGAUGGCGGAGCAGUGAGUGGAGUCAAGGAUGUCCAGGGGUUCUCCAAGCCGCCAUCCUCAACAGCCCAGCCUCCAGCACCUUUCUAGUACCGGUAUGACCCACCAUUCUACCCUCAUCAAAUGCCUCUACAGAUGCAGACGCCGAUAGCCCACGAGCAACUAACCCUCUACCAACGUCAGAUGACAGAAGACCAGCUGAAAUUUUCCUAGCAAGCGAGUCCAUCAUUGAGGAAUGCCUCAAACUGAUUUUUUUUAAAUUUUUACAUUAGAUGCAUCGUUAUAUAGAAUCAUGUGUGCUAGCUGUUUAAUAAACCAGAAAUACGAGUAAUGAGAAGUACUAAGAUGAAACAAGUUGUAAAUCGUUUCAUGAAUUGUGGUGUAAUAUAAGGAAACAAGCGAUGACACUCGAUAGUGAUCAAUUGAUCUUUGUGAUAAAGUCUUCGGAAUGAGUCUCGAGCUUUCCAAGAAACCUUCACCGUUUGUCAGGCGCGCCCGUAGAAUGGGUUAAUGUUUCGCAAAGUUUAUUUGUAUGGAAGAAAAAGCCACGUAAUUCUGAUACGAUAUUAUGAUAUGUAAUUCUGAGACUUCAAGUACCUAUUAGGUUUCGCUAUAACAAGUUGCAACAAGUGUAUAUAUAUGAACUCGAUGUACUACAUGUAUUUCGCAGAAGAAUUGGAGCACGAUGAUCUGUCAGCGUUACAAGGACAUAGACUUUCAUGGACUUUGGUGAUAAGUCUCACCUCCUUGAUCGGUCCUAAGCUCAUGACGACAUUGAACUAGAACUUAAUGAACAUUAGAAAUGUUGUACUAUAUUAAUGAAUUGUUAUAAAUGUUUGAAAGUUGAAAUGUCCAGGAGACAUUUAUUUUUGGAGGGGAAGGUGUGGAGCCCCACAGAAUACCCCCCCCCCUAUUUUUUUGUAUAUCUUUGACUAUGUAUGUAUGACACAAGUAUAUUUCUAGCCCCCAUAUAGUCCCUCCUCUUAGUUAAUUAGGUACCCCCUCCUGCGAGAGUGGCCUCACCCACAACCAACCUAAACACACCAGCUGGGAUACCAGGAGUGGCUUCUCACUUUGUUUUUGCCACGCAUCUCAGUCAACACCUUUCUUAUUUUGUCUUCCUUUAAUAGGUAUGCCCCCUCCCUCGGGGUGUGGGCGCUACAAAUGUAAUUAU